rnacentral:rRNA from 1 species
UCUUCGGAGAGUUUGAUCCUGGCUCAGGACGAACGCUGGCGGCGUGCCUAAUACAUGCAAGUCGAGCGAAUCGAUGGGAGCUUGCUCCCGGAGAUUAGCGGCGGACGGGUGAGUAACACGUGGGCAACCUGCCGAUAAGACUGGGAUAACUUCGGGAAACCGGAGCUAAUACCGGAUACGUUCUUUUCUCGCAUGAGAGAAGAUGGAAGAACGGUUUACGCUGUCACUUAUAGAUGGGCCCGCGGCGCAUUAGCUAGUUGGUGAGGUAACGGCUCACCAAGGCGACGAUGCGUAGCCGACCUGAGAGGGUGAUCGGCCACACUGGGACUGAGACACGGCCCAGACUCCUACGGGAGGCAGCAGUAGGGAAUCUUCCGCAAUGGACGAAAGUCUGACGGAGCAACGCCGCGUGAACGAAGAAGGCCUUCGGGUCGUAAAGUUCUGUCGUUAGGGAAGAACAAGUACCAGAGUAACUGCUGGUACCUUCGACGGUACCUGAACCAGAAAGCCACGGCUAACUACGUGCCAGCAGCCGCGGUAAUACGUAGGCGCAAGCGUUGUCCGGAAUUAUUGGGCGUAAAGCGCGCGCAGGUGGUUCCUUAAGUCUGAUGUGAAAGCCCGAUGGGCUCAACCGUGGAGGGUCAUUGGAAACUGGGGAACUGAGUGCAGAAGAGGAAAGUGGAAUUCCAAGUGUAGCGGUGAAAUGCGUAGAGAUUUGGAGGAACACCAGUGGCGAAGGCGACUUUCUGGUCUGCAACUGACACUGAGGCGCGAAAGCGUGGGGAGCAAACAGGAUCAGAUACCCUGGUAGUCGACGCCGUAAACGAUGAGUGCUAAGUGUUAGAGGGUUUCCGCCCUUUAGUGCUGCAGCUAACGCAUUAAGCAUUCUGCCUGGGGAGUACGGCCAAGGCUGAAACUCAAAGGAAUUGACGGGGGGCCCGCACAAGCGGGUGGAGCAUGUGGUUUAAUUCGAAGCAACGCGAAGAACCUUACCAGGUCUUGACAUCCUCUGACAACCCUAGAGAUAGGGCUUUCCCCUUCGGGGGACAGAGUGACAGGUGGUGCAUGGUCGUCGUCAGCUCGUGUCGUGAGAUGUUGGGUUAAGUUCCCGCAACGAGCGCAACCCUUGAUCUUAGUUGCCAGCAUUCAGUUGGGCACUCUGAAGGUGACUGCCGGUGACAAACCGGAGGAAGGUGGGGAUGACGUCAAAUCAUCAUGCCCCUUAUGACCUGGGCUACACACGUGCUACAAUGGAUGGUACAAAGGGCUGCAAACCUGCGAAGGUAAGCGAAUCCCAUAAAGCCAUUCUCAGUUCGGAUUGCAGGCUGCAACUCGCCUGCAUGAAGCCGGAAUCGCUAGUAAUCGCGGAUCAGCAUGCCGCGGUGAAGAUGUUCCCGGGCCUUGUACACACCGCCCGUCACACCACGAGAGUUUGUAACACCCGAAGUCGGUGAGGUAACCUUCAUGGAGCCAGCCGCCUAAGGUGGGACAGAUGAUUGGGGUGAAGUCGUAACAAGGUAGCCGUAUCGGAAGGUGCGGCUGGAUCACCUCCUUU